rnacentral:rRNA from 1 species
UACGUAGGGGGCGAGCGUUGUCCGGAUUUACUGGGCGUAAAACGCUUGUAGGCGGCCACGCCAAGUCGGAUGUGAAAUCUCCCGGCUUAACUGGGAGGGGUCAUGCGAUACUGGCGGGCUCGAGGCAGGUAGGGGGAAGCGGAAUUCCCGGUGUAGUGGUGGAAUGCGUAGAUAUCAGGAGGAACACCGGUGGCGAAGGCGGCCCUCUGGACGGUGACUGACGCUGAGACGCGAAAGCGUGGGGAGCAAACAGG